CCAAAAGAAACCUUGUACCCAUUAGCACUCAUUCCCCAUUCCUCCCUGUCCCCUGGCAACCAGCAGUCUGCUUCCUAUCUGCAUGGGUUUACCUAUUCCGGACAUCGCAUCCAAGUGGAAUCGUAAUAUAUGUGGCCUUCUGUAUCUGGCCUCUCCCACUCAUGUGAUAAUUCUAAGUCCCAUCCAUUUUGGAGCGAGUCACUGCCUCAUUCCUUUCUACGUCUGAGGACUAUUCAUUACACGUAUCGACCCCUUUUGGUUUAUCCAUUCAUUUGGUGACGGAUAUUUGGGUUUUCCAACUUCUGACGAUUGUACACAAUGUUGCCGUGAACAGUCACGUACGAGCUUCUGCUGGGACACCUGUUCUCAAUUCUUUUGAGACUAUACCUAGAAGUGGAGUCGCUAGAUGGCAUGAUAAUUCUGUUCAACUACUGAGAGCCACCAGACUGUCUCCCCCGGCGGCGGCCCCAUUCUGCGUUCCCACCAGCAGUAAGCAGGCUGCGGGCUCUCCACGCCCUCGCCAACACCUGUUCUUCUCCGUUUCUGGCCACGGCCAUCCUACUGGCUGUGAGGUGGUAUCCGACCCAUCGCUGCUCAGCUGAGGGACUUCCCUCCUCCACCUGCCAGGGCCACCGCCGCUGCAGGACUGGGUGAGGGCAGCCUGGAAGCAAAGGCUCGGUGCUGGGCGGCUCGAAAGCCCGGCUGCCCCUGGAGGCCCCACCAGCUCUCAGGAGCUAAAGAGUGUGAGGUACAGAAGGUCAAGCGGGCCUCUGGCGGGCGGGAACGCAAGGACAGAGCCUUGUCUGAGUCCACGGGAGGACACGGCGCGCAGGCAACGACGCACUACAGCCGACAGCAGCAGCGGGUACAACGUGCGUGCUCUUCCCUCAUCCUGGGACUCCGCUGGCUGUCCUGACGCCAUCCCUGCCCCGCACCAUGCUGAGCACUUUCACGCAUGGGCUCCGUAAUCCCACCAAAGAACCUCGGAUAGAGAAGCCUCCUAAGCAAACACCUGCCCCCCCUCCCUGCGCCCUCCGUUUUGAUUUCUGAGAAAGAAUCUCGUUCUGUCCUCAGUGAGGUUCACGGGGAAGGUGAGCUGCUGGGGCAGAUGAACCAGGUGGGGUGGAGGUCACUGAGGGGGGUCACUCCCGGCUCAUCGAUCCCGGCCCCCGACCUCCCAGGGGCGGCUGGGGCAGGGAGAGAUUCUUGGGGAUCCUUGGGGUGGAGCGCUCAGCCAGGGCUCACGCAGAGAGGAUCCAGGAGCCCACCCGAGGCCCACCGACCUCGGUAGGCGGCAGCGCCCCAAGGCUUCCCAGAGCGACCCAGAAUCUGUCCAUCCCUGCGGCGGAUCGGGCGACUCCCCCGUGGCGCCGUGUCGGGGCGGCCGGUGCCUCCCGCAGGUCACCGAGGGCGCCGGGGCCCGCGCCACACCUGUCCGCUCCUCCUGGAGGCCCCGGCGCCGCUGCUGCCGGCCCCUCAGC